CAGCAGCCGCGGUAAUACGAAGGGGGCUAGCGUUGCUCGGAAUGACUGGGCGUAAAGGGCGCGUAGGCGGCGGCCAAAGUCAGGCGUGAAAUUCCCGGGCUCAACCUGGGGGCUGCGUUUGAUACUUGGUUGCUUGAGUGGGGAAGAGGGUCGUGGAAUCCCCAGUGUAGAGGUGAAAUUCGUAGAUAUUGGGAAGAACACCGGUGGCGAAGGCGGCAACCUGGUCCUUGACUGACGCUGAGGCGCGAAAGCGUGGGGAGCAAACAGGAUUAGAUACCCGCGUAGUCCCUGUCUCUUAUAC
rnacentral:rRNA from 1 species